rnacentral:rRNA from 1 species
AGACCCGAAACCCGGUGAUCUAGCCAUGGGCAGGUUGAAGGUUGGGUAACACUAACUGGAGGACCGAACCGACUAAUGUUGAAAAAUUAGCGGAUGACCUGUGGCUGGGGGUGAAAGGCCAAUCAAACCGGGAGAUAGCUGGUUCUCCCCGAAAGCUAUUUAGGUAGCGCCUCGUGAAUUCAUCUCCGGGGGUAGAGCACUGUUUCGGCUAGGGGGCCAUCCCGGCUUACCAACCCGAUGCAAACUGCGAAUACCGGAGAAUGUUAUCACGGGAGACACACGGCGGGUGCUAACGUCCGUCGUGAAGAGGGAAACAACCCAGACCGCCAGCUAAGGUCCCAAAGUCAUGGUUAAGUGGGAAACGAUGUGGGAAGGCCCAGACAGCCAGGAUGUUGGCUUAGAAGCAGCCAUCAUUUAAAGAAAGCGUAAUAGCUCACUGGUCGAGUCGGCCUGCGCGGAAGAUGUAACGGGGCUAAACCAUGCACCGAAGCUGCGGCAGCGAACGUAUCACCCAAGACAACUUUACGGAGUUGACGAUUGACGGAGCGAAGCGACGUCAAAGCGUUCAUUAAAGUCGAGUUGGCUUAGGGAUACGUUCGUUGGGUAGGGGAGCGUUCUGUAAGCCGUUGAAGGUGGCCUGUGAGGGUUACUGGAGGUAUCAGAAGUGCGAAUGCUGACAUAAGUAACGAUAAAGCGGGUGAAAAGCCCGCUCGCCGGAAGACCAAGGGUUCCUGUCCAACGUUAAUCGGGGCAGGGUGAGUCGACCCCUAAGGCGAGGCCGAAAGGCGUAGUCGAUGGGAAACGGGUUAAUAUUCCCGUACUUGGUGUUACUGCGAAGGGGGGACGGAGAAGGCUAUGUUGGCCGGGCGACGGUUGUCCCGGUUUAAGCGUGUAGGUGUGUGUUCCAGGUAAAUCCGGUUCACUUUAACACUGAGGCGUGAUGA